AGCAGCCGCGGUAAUUCCAGCUCCAAUAGCGUAUAUUAAAGUUGCUGCAGUUAAGAAGCUCGUAGUUGAAUUUCGGGAUCAAUUUAUCGGUCGUGCCUAUGGUACUGUACGUACUGGUAUUGUUGGUUCCUCCUUUCUGAGGAGCCGCGAUGUCAUUAACUUGGUGUCGCGGGGAAUCAGGACUGUUACUUUGAAAAAUUAGAGUGUUUAAAGCAGGCUAACGCUUGAAUACAUUAGCAUGGAAUAAUGAAAUAGGACGUUUGAUCCUAUUUUGUUGGUUUCUAGGGUCGACGUAAUGAUUAAUAGGGAUAGUUGGGGGCAUUAGUAUUCAAUUGUCAGAGGUGAAAUUCUUGGAUUUAUUGAAGACUAACUACUGCGAAAGCAUUUGCCAAGGAUGUUUUCAUUAAUCAAGAACGAAAGUUAGGGGAUCGAAGACGAUCAGAUACCGUC
rnacentral:rRNA from 1 species